rnacentral:rRNA from 1 species
UCCCCUCUCCAGUGAGAAUGCCCUUAAUAUCAAUCUAGAUCAAGAGGAGCAGGUAUUAAGCACACUAACUAGUAGCUCAAGAUAUCUUGCUUAACCACACCCCCAAGGGAUACAGCAGUGAUAAAAAUUUAGCAAUGAACGCAAGUUUGACUAAGCUAUGCUACUUUAGGGUUGGUAAAUUUCGUGCCAGCCACCGCGGUCAUACGAUUAACCCAAACUAAUAAACACCCGGCGUAAAGCGUGAUUUAAAAUCAAAUAACAACUAAGCUGUAAAAAGUAAUAGUUGCAAACAAAAAUAAACGACGAAAGUGAUUUCAUAGUCUUCGAACUCACGAUAGCUAAGAUCCAAACUGGGAUUAGAUACCCCACUAUGCUUAGCCUUAAACCUAGAUAAUUUCAUAACAAAAUUAUUCGCCAGAGAACUACAAGCCAGAGCUUAAAACUCAAAGGACUUGGCGGUGCUUUAUACCCGCCUAGAGGAGCCUGUUCUAUAAUCGAUAAACCCCGAUAAACCUUACCACUCUUUGCCAACUCAGCCUAUAUACCGCCAUCUUCAGCAAACCCUAAAAAGGAACAAAAGUAAGCUCAAUCAUCACCAUAAAAACGUUAGGUCAAGGUGUAGCCUAUAGAGUGGAAAGCAAUGGGCUACAUUUUCUAGUUCAGAACACACGAAAGCCCCUAUGAAACUCUAGGGGCCAAAGGAGGAUUU